CCCACAGAAUCAGUGGGAUUUAUCUACAUGUUGACUCACCAUUCAACAGUUGAUUGAAUGGACCUCUGUAGUUCUGACUAACCAGAGAGAUGCCAGACUCUGACUGAGUCUAUCCUGUCCUGUCAUUUGUCUGCUUAAAAUGGCUUUCCCUCAUUACCUUUCAUUGUCAUGGAUAGAUCACUACUUGGGAAAAUUUGAUUCACUAAAAAUCAGCCUUUGCAAGAGAGGGGAACUGGUUAAGAUGAUCUGUCCCAAAAGGAUGUAGGUGAUUUCCUCACGGCUCUUGGGGAUUUUCCUGUCAUCUCAACAGGCUAUUGUGCUGAAAUCCUGGUUGAACCUUGGAAGGGAAAAAUGGCUAGGCUUUGGACAAAGAACAGACCUUACAACUCAGAAGAGUACCUCUACAGAUGACAUGAUUGCCCUAACACAUGUACUGGUUGCCAUAAGGAUCCUCUGAUCAUCAACCAUUAGUCAGAAGAAGGCAGCUUUAAAAGGACAAGAAGAGCUCUUUUGAAGGCACCAAUAAGAAAAGAUGCCCCUAGGGUCAGUAGGGACCACCUCCAUGUAAUUCUAUGAAAGUACCAUUUUCUGAAGGCAAAGGCCAAAGUGAAGAAGAUUGGCCAAAGAAGGUUGCAGAGGUAGCUGUUCAACAAUCAAAUUGGGGCAAACUAGCUGACUGUCAGCAUUGAUCAAGAGAUUUGGAGCAAACUAUGCCGAUGACACCAACUGUACUUUCCUGUUACAUCUUAAUCAGUAGCCAUAGCUGGAUGAAGUGGUGGAUGGAUGAGGGCCAAUAAAUUAAGGCAGAAUUCUGCAAGACGAGGC